UGUUUCGGCUAGGGGGCCAUCCCGGCUUACCAACCCGAUGCAAACUGCGAAUACCGGAGAAUGUUAUCACGGGAGACACACGGCGGGUGCUAACGUCCGUCGUGAAGAGGGAAACAACCCAGACCGCCAGCUAAGGUCCCAAAGUCAUGGUUAAGUGGGAAACGAUGUGGGAAGGCCCAGACAGCCAGGAUGUUGGCUUAGAAGCAGCCAUCAUUUAAAGAAAGCGUAAUAGCUCACUGGUCGAGUCGGCCUGCGCGGAAGAUGUAACGGGGCUAAACCAUGCACCGAAGCUGCGGCAGCGAACGUAUCACUUAAAACGAUUCAGAAGCUUACGAUUGACGGAGCGAAGCGACGUCAAAGCGUAUACAAAGUCGAGUCGGUUUAAGGAUACGUUCGUUGGGUAGGGGAGCGUUCUGUAAGCCGUUGAAGGUGUCCUGUGAGGGGUGCUGGAGGUAUCAGAAGUGCGAAUGCUGACAUAAGUAACGAUAAAGCGGGUGAAAAGCCCGCUCGCCGGAAGACCAAGGGUUCCUGUCCAACGUUAAUCGGGGCAGGGUGAGUCGACCCCUAAGGCGAGGCCGAAAGGCGUAGUCGAUGGGAAACGGGUUAAUAUUCCCGUACUUGGUGUUACUGCGAAGGGGGGACGGAGAAGGCUAUGUUGGCCGGGCGACGGUUGUCCCGGUUUAAGCGUGUAGGUGUGUGUUCCAGGUAAAUCCGGUUCACUUUAACACUGAGGCGUGAUGACGAGGCACCACGGUGCUGAAGCAACAAAUGCCCUGCUUCCAGGAAAAGCCUCUAAGCAUCAGGUAACAUCAAAUCGUACCCCAAACCGACACAGGUGGUCAGGUAGAGAAUACCAAGGCGCUUGAGAGAACUCGGGUGAAGGAACUAGGCAAAAUGGUGCCGUAACUUCGGGAGAAGGCACGCUGACACGUAGGUGAAGUGAUUUACUCAUGGAGCUGAAGUCAGUCGAAGAUACCAGCUGGCUGCAACUGUUUAUUAAAAACACAGCACUGUGCAAACACGAAAGUGGACGUAUACGGUGUGACGCCUGCCCGGUGCCGGAAGGUUAAUUGAUGGGGUCAGCGCAAGCGAAGCUCCUGAUCGAAGCCCCGGUAAACGGCGGCCGUAACUAUAACGGUCCUAAGGUAGCGAAAUUCCUUGUCGGGUAAGUUCCGACCUGCACGAAUGGCGUAAUGAUGGCCAGGCUGUCUCCACCCGAGACUCAGUGAAAUUGAACUCGCUGUGAAGAUGCAGUGUACCCGCGGCAAGACGGAAAGACCCCGUGAACCUUUACUAUAGCUUGACACUGAACAUUGAGCCUUGAUGUGUAGGAUAGGUGGGAGGCUUUGAAGCGUGGACGCCAGUCUGCGUGGAGCCGACCUUGAAAUACCACCCUUUAAUGUUUGAUGUUCUAACGUGGACCCGUAAUCCGGGUUGCGGACAGUGUCUGGUGGGUAGUUUGACUGGGGCGGUCUCCUCCUAAAGAGUAACGGAGGAGCACGAAGGUUGGCUAAUCCUGGUCGGACAUCAGGAGGUUAGUGCAAUGGCAUAAGCCAGCUUGACUGCGAGCGUGACGGCGCGAGCAGGUGCGAAAGCAGGUCAUAGUGAUCCGGUGGUUCUGAAUGGAAGGGCCAUCGCUCAACGGAUAAAAGGUACUCCGGGGAUAACAGGCUGAUACCGCCCAAGAGUUCAUAUCGACGGCGGUGUUUGGCACCUCGAUGUCGGCUCAUCACAUCCUGGGGCUGAAGUAGGUCCCAAGGGUAUGGCUGUUCGCCAUUUAAAGUGGUACGCGAGCUGGGUUUAGAACGUCGUGAGACAGUUCGGUCCCUAUCUGCCGUGGGCGCUGGAAGACUGAGGGGGGCUGCUCCUAGUACGAGAGGACCGGAGUGGACGCAUCACUGGUGUUCGGGUUGUCAUGCCAAUGGCACUGCCCGGUAGCUAAAUGCGGAAAAGAUAAGUGCUGAAAGCAUCUAAGCACGAAACUUGCCCCGAGAUGAGUCUUCCCUGAGACCUUGAGUCUCCUGAAGGAACGUUAAAGACGAUGACGUUGAUAGGCCGGGUGUGUAAGCGCAGCGAUGCGUUGAGCUAACCGGUACUAAUGAACCGUGAGGCUUAACCUUACAACGCCGAAG
rnacentral:rRNA from 1 species